GGAAAAUUGACAAUACAAAAACAAGGUUACUGUGAGACAAAGAGAAACGACUAGACUUGAGUAGGAAAGGCAGGUGCUGAGCAGUGAGGAAUCCUCAAGGGUGACCAGGCCUUGUAACAGAACUGUGUGUCAUUACAGCGCAUUUGCCAGUGUGAGGAAAAGCAGUUUACCUCCGCGGUCGCCCAGAAGCAAACAAACAGAUACAUUUUUUUUUUUUUUUUAAAUUGUGGACCCAGGAUGGGAAGAGAUGAAGAGAAAGAACAAAAACAGUGUUUAAAUCGUUUACUUUGAUCUAAAUGAUAGGUUUGUAGGCUGUCAAAAGACUGCAAAUACCAUAAAUGUCAAAGAAAAGAUUUUGUUUUGUCUUUGAAGAGGGAGUAAGUGGGUAACUAACUGAACUUUAAAAUUUGUAAAUGAGAAAAAAGUGGCCUAGUAAUGAGAGCAUCCCUUUAAAGAAAGCUUUCUAUUUUUAAAAUACUAACCGGCACCAACCACACAAGGCACAGGAAAAGGAUCUAGGGCAUCAAGACUUAUUAUGAAGAUGCUACAGUAUCGCCCCCAGCAUGGACAAACUGACCAAAGGGCUAGAAGAGAGAGCCACCCACUUCUUUCGCAUGUGGAUGGAGAUUAGAUUUAUGACAAUGCUGGCAUCGCAGAUCAGCGAGGAAACAAAGCUCUGUUCGUUAGAGGGCACUGAGACAAGAGGGCCAAGCACAAAAAUAGGCGUUUCACACAAGAUAAAACAUUAAUGGCAACAAACAUGAAAAGAUGAACAAUCGUAUUAGUAAUCAUGGAGAUAAAAAUUAAAACCGGGAGAUACCAUUUCAUUCCCACCAGAUAGGUGAAAAUUAAAAACGGAGACAAUACCAAGCCCUGAGGAGGCCUGGAGCAAGGGAAACUCCCUUCUGACUGGGGAGAGAGUACACUGGUGCAUCACUGUGGACAACAAUUUACAGUCAAACCUAAACAAAUGCAUACCCUCGGACCCAGCAAUGCUACUCCCAAGUAUAGACGCUCUAGAAACGUUUGCAUGUGCUUCCCAGGAGAUACGGACAAGGAUAUACAGAGCAGCCGCAUUUGUAAUAGACCCGAAUGUAAACAACCCAAAUGCCCAUUAGGAAUAGCAUGUAAAAAUAAAAUAUUGUUUACAUAUACAACGAAAUGCCAUACAACAAUGAAAACUAAUGAACGAUAGCGUCACAUAACAUGAAUUUAUCUCCAGAACAACAUUCUGUUGGAAGGAAAAAAGCACACACACGGUAAAAAAAGAAUACACACAGUAUAGUUCCUUUUUUUUUUUUGUCUUUUUGUCUUUUCUAGGGCUGCUCCUGCGGCAUAUGGAGGUUCCCAGGCUAGGAGUUGAAUUGGAGCUGUAGCCCUGUAGCCGCUGGGCUUCACCAGAGCCACAGCAACACGGGAUCCGAGCCACGUCUGCAACCUACACCACAGCUCAUGGCAAUGCCGGAUCCUUAACCCACUGAGCAAGGCCAGGGAUCGAACCCGCACCCUCAUGGUUCCUAGUCGGAUUUGUUAACCACUCAGCCACGACGGGAAUUCCGGUAUAGUUCCAUUUAAACAGAAUUUUAAAAACAGAUAAAACUAAACAUCAGUGCUCAGGGCCACACAUAUGUGGUGACACUAUACGAGAAAACAGUGAUAGAAAAUCUGGGAUAGUGCUAAUGGCAGCGGGGGUGCUGUGGGGAAGGCCAUGUGAUUGGAUUACGGCAUUUCAAAGAUACUGGUAAUGUUCUCUUUCUUUAAGUGUUACGUACAAUUUUUUAAAGCUACAUUUUAUAUUCUUCAAAUACAUCUUACAUACAAUUCUGCAGUGUGAUAUAUUACAUUCUAGCGACAACAAAAGUUUAAAAAGGGAUGCUGUACCACAGAAAUUGGGACAACACUGUAAAUCAACUAUACUUAAUUUUUUUUUUUUUUUUAAAGGGAGAGCAAGAAGGGUAAGGAGUUUGAUUCAAUGAGUAUUUUACUGAAUACAUAGCAUUACCAGUCCUACCAAGGAUACAGGUCAGAUUCCUGCUCUGGGGAACCUAGAAGGAUGAAUAAACACUGUGGCAGGCAGGGACACAGGCAGACAGACAGACAGACAGACAGACACACACACACCCCUCUGCAAAGAUGCUAGUGGGGAUCAGGAAAAAUACCACCAGUAGGUGGUACGUAAGCUGAGCUUUGAGGAGAGAGUAAAAUUCCAGGUAAAUGGAGAAGGCAAGGCACUGGCAGGGUAAGAAAACAGCAUUAACAGAGGUAGGAGAGGGCACAGAAUGCUGAGAGAGCUGGCUGCUGGCUCAGAGAAGCAAUGCAGAGAAUGAAAAGCAGAGAGGCUGCAUUUAAGUCAAACUAUAUUCUGCCUACGAGCCAUACCUAGAAGCUUAGUGUUUACGAGGAGCGAAGUAGCAAAAUUCGGCUUCUGCAUUAGGAUGAUAAUUCUAGAGUGACUCAGAGAACCUUGAAAUUAGCUAGUGUCAGCAGGAAUAUAAAGAGGGAACAGAAUAAGAGAGCCACUGAAAUUCAGCUAGGCUAUAGCAAAAUAUGGAAAUAACCCUUUUUAAAAAGUUUGUGAACACUAAAUUUAAUAAUUAAUGAAGCUGAUAAAAUAUCUGUAGACACCUAGUCAACAUUUAAUUAUAUUUUGCAAUUUUCUUUUUGUUUUCUGGAGCAAAAAUAAUUUCAAGUUUUAUGUAUUUUUACAGGUUUUUGAAAAGCUCUUAGGCCCAAGGUUGUGAUCAUACGUUUACUGAAUAAAACCACCUGUAUUUCUACACUUAUAAUCUGAAACCCAGAUACCAUAAAAAAAUUGAUAAAUCUGAUUAUAUAGAAACCAAAAAUUGAUAAAUUUGAACACAUAAUUUUUUUUUUUUAAAUCUUUUUAGGGCUGCACCUGUGGCAUAUGGAGGUUCCCAGGCUAGGGGUCCAAUCAGAGCUGUUGCUGCCGGCCUAUGCCAGAGCCACAGCAACGCCAGAUCCAAGCCAUGUCUGAGACCUACACCACAGCUCACGGCAAUGCCAGAUCCUCAACCCACUGAUCGAGGCCAGGGAUCAAACCCUCAACCUCAUGGUCCUAGUCGGAUUCGUUUCCACUGCACCAUGACAGGAACUCCCCAGAACAUAUAAAAAUUCAAAACAGCUAUACCACACACAAAAAUACUAUAUACAAAAGUAAACCAUAAAUUGGGAAACAUAUUCACCUACAUUACACAGGCAAGAGCUAAUAACCUUAGUAUUAAAAAAAAACUUUAAUAAAUCAACCCAAAAGAACAAUGGGCAAAAUAAUUAGAGGAAUCAAAGAUGACACAUUUCGAGUCUGGGAGAACAUCUGUUGGCGACAUUAGCUCUAAAAUAAGGAACCAGAAGAAGGAAGAGCAGGGGUUUUUGGAGAGGAAGAGAAGCAGAAAGUUAGAGACGGGUAGAAAUAAUAUUGCUUUGGGACAUGAUAAAUAUAUGGUGCUAGGCGAUAUCUAUAUUGAUAAGUUCAGCCGGAAGGUACGAUUUGAAUCGGAAAAAAAAAAAGACCUCCUCAUGCUGUACACAUUUCUAUCUCCAUUUUUACUGUACUGUGUGAAGUACAUUGUUAUUGCAACUUCGUGAAGACUUGUUUUGGGCUCAGGAUUUUCAGCAGUUUUUCUGGAUACUCUGUUUAAUAUAUUUAUAUCACAUGACCUCCCUGGCCAAAGAGCUACCUACCAAAGUUGGUGUCCCUUAGGAUGCUGGAGAAAUACAUUUGAAAGAGACGUAGGGAUUAUUGAAAAUUCCUAAUAGUGUCCCUACCAGUAGACACAUUUAUGUGGCUGGGAAACAAAAAGCUUCAGAGGCAAAGAUUGUUAAUGUCCAUUAUUAAAUUUUCACUUGCAUUUUUCUUUUCUACUACAAUGUACAUGCAUCCACUUGUUUUAUUGCUGUUGAUCACUGAGCAUGUUUUAUUAAUUAUUUUGCGUGCUCCCUACUGGGCUUUCUUCUCCCUGUAUACUAGCUCUUUAAAAACGCCAUUUCCAAGCCUCCUUAUGAUGACUGUCCUUUGCCACACCUGGCCUUAGCUCAUGAUUAUACUUCAACAGCCUCUAGUGCAGUGAGCAGGUGUCAGAAACACCUGGAAGGCUUGUUGGACCUUACGCUGCAAGGGGCACCACCACCCUCUCAGUUUGAUUGGUAGCUUUGGAGCAGGACUGAGAAUAGACAUGUCCUAACAGGUCCCCAGGUGAUGCUGAUGCUGCUGAUCUGGGGCUUCGCUUCCAAACCCAGGGCGCUACCAGCUGCCUCCUGCCUCAAACCUUUGACCAGUUUUCACAGCUAGAGCCACUUAAGGUGUUGAUUCCGCCUCACGCAGGAAGGAAGAAAUACAGGCCUUUCAUUGGUUCCCUACGACGACGUAACCUUACGGAGGGUUUGACGUGGAUAGCAGCGCCGGGCUUUUGCUGAGUGUUCGCAGCUCCCGCGCUUCAUCUCUUCCUGGGUUCCUUGCUGGACACACCGUUUCUUCUGGGAUGAGGACGCUUUGAUUUCCUUUGCUCCUCAGUUCCUUCUGGAAGCUGAAGACGCGCAGCUGUUAGCAGUAACAACUCAGAAGCCCUACAUGAAAUUGUUACGCCUUGGAAGUUGAGUCCCUGAAAGUCGCCCAAGUUUGUCAACAUUGGUAAAAGAACUAACAAUUAUAAAAAGAAAAAUCAACAAGCAAUCAAAGGGAGCAGAAGCUGAAAAUGGGAGUAAGGGAGUAUAUAUUAAGAAAUUCUAUAAUGAAUACUUCACCAUUAAAAGACUCUGCCACUGGCUUAACUUUGCUGGUGUUUUUUCACAGGAGGACCUUUGCUAAUCCCAAAUCCUGACAUUCAAGUGAAUAGAAAAGUUGAGAAAAUUUAGUGUUCUCUUGCUGGAAUGCAAGAAUUCGUAUUCUUAAUUCUUAGAUUCCUAGGACAUCCAUGGAAGGGCUUCAGCAAGUAUAUGAAUCUAUUAUAAUUGUGUGCAAAAAUGCAACAUGCAUAUCCUCUCUGGUGUUCAUAUCCUUUCCUCAUAUUCUUCCUAAAAAGGUUAAAGACCACUGUUGUGGGGUAGCAGUAGAUUAAAAAGAUUGGCCAGGAACUGGUAGUUGCUGAAAUUGGAUGAUGAGGACACAGAAGUUCAUUGCACUAUUUUCUCUAAUUUUGCAUAUAGUUGAAGUUGUCAUUAAUAAAUGAUUUUUUAAAAAA